UACGAACUAGAGUUUGAUUAGAAAACAUUUCAUUUACACUGAAAAUUUUACUGUGCAAUUCGGUAUAGUUUGAU
rnacentral:tRNA from 1 species